AUGUUAACGAGAUAUUGGUGCGGUUCAAUUUAAAAGCAUCACUCUAAAGGUUAAGAGUUAUGUUAUUUGAUUGAGCCGUGCCAAUAUCACGUAAUAAUUA
rfam:Gossypium hirsutum cultivar TM-1 chromosome 18, whole genome shotgun sequence